CGUGCGCUUCCUAGGCCAAUUUGGGAGCGCGGCACACAGCUCAGUAACACGUGGCUAACCUGCCCUUGGGACGAGAACACCCCCGGGAAACUGGGGCUAAUUCUCGAUAGGUGAAGAUCUCUGGAAUGAGUUUUCGCCUAAAAGACGUUGGGGUUAUGCUCUCCAGUGUCGCCCAAGGAUGGGGCCGCGACCGAUCAGGUUGUUGGUGAGGUAAUGGCUCACCAAGCCUUUUACCGGUGCGGGCCGUGGGAGCGGGAGCCCGGAGAUGGGCACUGAGACAAGGGCCCAGGCCCUACGGGGCGCAGCAGUCGCGAAAACUUUGCAAUAAGCGAAAGCUUGACAGGGCUAUCCCGAGUGCCAUCCGCUGAGGAAGGCUUUUACCCAGUCUAGAACGCUGGGGGAAUAAGGAGAGGGCAAGUCUGGUGUCAGCCGCCGCGGUAAUACCAGCUCUCCGAGUGGUGUGGAUGUUUAUUGGGCCUAAAGCAUCCGUAGCUGGCUAGGCUAGUCCCCUGUUAAAUCCACCGAAUUAAUCGUUGGAUUGCGGGGGAUACUGCUUGGCUAGGGGACGAGAGAGGCAGACGGUAUUUCCGGGGUAGGGGUGAAAUCCUAUAAUCCCGGGAAGACCACCAGUGGCGAAGGCUGUCUGCUAGAACGCGCCCGACGGUGAGGGAUGAAAGCUGGGGGAGCGAACCGGAUUAGAUACCCGGGUAGUCCCAGCUGUAAACGAUGCAGACUAGGU
rnacentral:rRNA from 1 species